UUUGCUACUGUUUUGAAUUGUAAUGUAAAUACUUGUGUUUUCCGAUGGUCUUAGGUGACCUCUGUGAAAGGGUCGUUCAACCCCCAUAAGGGUCGCGACCCACAGGUUGAGAACCACUGCCUUAAAGGAUUCUGCACUGAGCAGA